UACGUAGGGUGCAAGCGUUGUCCGGAAUUAUUGGGCGUAAAGAGCUCGUAGGCGGUCUGUCGCGUCUGCUGUGAAAACUCAGGGCUUAACCCUGAGCUUGCAGUGGGUACGGGCAGACUAGAGUGCGGUAGGGGAGACUGGAAUUCCUGGUGUAGCGGUGAAAUGCGCAGAUAUCAGGAGGAACACCCGUGGCGAAAGCGGCUCUCUGGGACGGUACUGACGCUGAGACGCGAAAGCGUGGGGAGCAAACAGG
rnacentral:rRNA from 1 species